CCCCCACAUUGGAACUGAGACACCGGUCCAAACUCCUACGGGAGGCAGCAGUGAGGAAUAUUGGUCAAUGGACGAGAGUCUGAACCAGCCAAGUAGCGUGCAGGAAGGCGGCCCUAUGGGUUGUAAACUGCUUUUAUAAGGGAAUAAAGUGAGUCUCGUGAGACUUUUUGCAUGUACCUUAUGAAUAAGGACCGGCUAAUUCCGUGCCAGCAGCCGCGGUAAUACGGAAGGUCCGGGCGUUAUCCGGAUUUAUUGGGUUUAAAGGGAGCGUAGGCCGGAGAUUAAGCGUGUUGUGAAAUGUAGAUGCUCAACAUCUGAACUGCAGCGCGAACUGGUUUCCUUGAGUACGCACAAAGUGGGCGGAAUUCGUGGUGUAGCGGUGAAAUGCUUAGAUAUCACGAAGAACUCCGAUUGCGAAGGCAGCUCACUGGAGCGCAACUGACGCUGAAGCUCGAAAGUGCGGGUAUCAAAAAGGAUUAGAUACCCUGGUAGUCCGCACGGUAAACGAUGGAUGCCCGCUGUUGGUCUGAAUAGGUCAGCGGCCAAGCGAAAGCAUUAAGCAUCCCACCUGGGGAGUACGCCGGCAACGGUGAAACUCAAAGGAAUUGACGGGGGCCCGCACAAGCGGAGGAACAUGUGGUUUAAUUCGAUGAUACGCGAGGAACCUUACCCGGGCUUGAAUUGCAGAGGAAGGAUUUGGAGACAAUGACGCCCUUCGGGGCCUCUGUGAAGGUGCUGCAUGGUUGUCGUCAGCUCGUGCCGUGAGGUGUCGGCUUAAGUGCCAUAACGAGCGCAACCCCUCUCCUUAGUUGCCAUCAGGUGAAGCUGGGCACUCUGGGGACACUGCCACCGUAAGGUGUGAGGAAGGUGGGGAUGACGUCAAAUCAGCACGGCCCUUACGUCCGGGGCUACACACGUGUUACAAUGGCAGGUACAGAGAGACGGUCCCUUGCAAAAUGGAUCAAAUCCUUAAAGCCUGUCUCAGUUCGGACUGGGGUCUGCAACCCGACCCCACGAAGCUGGAUUCGCUAGUAAUCGCGCAUCAGCCAUGGCGCGGUGAAUACGUUCCCGGGCCUUGCACA
rnacentral:rRNA from 1 species